AAAUGUAACUCCUGAAUUGAAAAUAAGUUUUAACAUAUAGGUUGUGGUUAAAACAACACCAAAGACUAAUUUUAAAAUUCUAAUUUGCUCAGCAUAAUGUCUAGAUUAUAAAAUUAGACUACAGCUUGCCAGCUGUGUACCCAAGUUGGCACCAGGCACCUUCCUGUUGGGGCCAUUGGCUGUAAUACCACAGCUAAGUUAACAGUAACUACUUACUUGGCUACUGUUUCUUUGAUGACCCAUCGCCCUGUUAGUCUCUGUUUAGGUCACAGUUUGUGGUCUGGUACAGCCUUGGUUCUUGUGAAUACAACUUAAGUAUCGAUGUCUUACUACUUUGCUAGUGUAGCUGUUAGGCUCAGAGCCUGGGUCUCCAGCCCUAACAACCCGAGGUCGCCGCCCAUCCUCAGCACACCAGUUAACAGACAGCCUGAUGUGAAAAGCUGAAAGAGAAGACUUAUUCAUCGUGGCCACAAAGCAUGUGAUUGCAGAUCUUUGCAUUAAGUGGAGAAGCCUCCGGAACAGGAAGAGGGAGGCUCCGAACGCCCAUCACUAUCUCUGUGCCUUUGUGUCACAAACAAAGGACCCAGUGAUUCAUAAGAAAUGAAAAGACUACUUGCCAUGUCCCAGUGAAGAGAGGUGUGGCAGAACGGAAUGCCUGUGGCCUGGAAGAGGUGAAGGGUGGAAAGACGAAGAGUCCAACACCUCACAGUAGAGAGAAUCUGCAAUGGGCAGUUUGGUUAGCCACUCCAAGACACAGAUGUCUAAAAUUUCCCAUGAAAAAUACCUGCUGGGGCUGCAACUUUAUCCCUACAGCUGUUUGUGGAGGAGGAGACCUGUAUUAACUUUGGAUAGUUUUUCUUUAGGGUGGACAGCUGGGCAGCAGGCCUGAGACAGGCACACCCAAGUUCAUCCUGUUCUUCCACACAUCAGGGCGCCUUGUUGCCCUGGCACGAGGCUGGUUUGCCUUUGUGGAUGACGACUCUUCUUGCAAAGCAAAGCUUGGGCUUGGUUUCAUGCAUAGGUGCGAAACAAUGAGCCUGGAUUCUGUAAUGAGAACAUUAGUUAACUUGGCCUAGCCAGCGCACCCCUCCCCAACACCUCUUGUUCAUUCCCCACCCCCCCCCACUCCCACCCCCACCAUGUACUAAUGCACUUUACUGCUAAGAGAGGUCAAAGAUUUAAAACAUUUAGGGGCUGGGGAGAUAGCAAGCAUGGGGUCCUGAGUUCACCGCCCAGCUGUGAGUGAUAGCACAUGCUAUAAUCCCAUUGUUGGCUGUAUGGAGAAUGGCGGACCCAUGGGGCUAACUGGCUAGUCAGUCUAAGUUAAUCAGGGAACCCCAGGUUCCAGGGAACACUGUCUCAUAACAUAAUGUGGACAGCUCCUAAGGACACUUGAAUGUGACCUCUAGCUUCCACAGCACCCUGCCAAUUACAUGUGUACCUGCACACGCAUGAGCAAGCAUAUUCACUUACAUACAUACACACAAAUGAUUUAAACCAUUUAAGUAAACUUAAGUUGCUAUGACCCACUUGACCCAGCUUUGACAGCUCAGGAUCCAGGAGGCAGAGAAAAUUGCUUUGCUAUUUCUUUCCCAUCUUUUUAACUCCGUAAGUGGAAAACAUGGUCUGAAGAGACUUUCUGAUUAAUUUGGCCCAUGCCCUGCAUUACCCAUUGCAGCCUAUGGGCCCAGAAAUGUUGUCCCCUACAUAAUAUCCCACUGCUAGUAAGAAUAGGAGCUGUACCCAAGGGCCCUUCUGAGGUCCAGGUCAGCACUCAGUCUGCUACCCCAUAUUGCUUCCUUUCUCAUAUAUAGCUGUGGGUAUUUUGUUACAUUCUGUCCCCCAUGUCUUUGUGGGCUUGUCACUAGUGCACAGUGUUCUCUGUAUAAAGGAUACUUAAGAAAAGUGUUGCCCAACUUUUUGUUUGCUUCGAGGUGUGAUAUUGGCUUCUGGCAACGUCUUGGAAAUGCGUGGGGGACUCUGCAAGGCACCCUCUGUGCCCUUCCUGGUUUUCAAGGACUGGGGCAAUGAUGUCACUUGUUCUUGAGAAGAAAAAAAAACAAGCAAAGAUUGUUUCCAGGGUACAUGGUCACAUGCAGAGGCCAUUGUGUAGUGACCAGUAAGGGUCAGGUCUCUGGAUUUUUUUGGAAAGUUGUCUUCACCACUCUGGGAAAGAAAGUACGCUUAUGGGGUUGGAGAGAUGGCUCAGCAGUUAAGAGCAUUGGCUGCUCUUCCCAAAGACCUGGGUUCAGUUCCUCGAACCCAUGUAGCAGCUCACCACGGUCUGUAACACUAGUUCUAGAGGUUUUUACACCCUCACACAUUCAUACAUGGAAGCAAAAUACCGA
rnacentral:lncRNA from 1 species